UGGCGGCGUGCUUAACACAUGCAAGUCGAGCGAGAGCCAGUCGAGGGGUAACCCUCGGCUGGGGACAGCGGCGAACGGGUGCGUAACACGUGGGCAACCUGCCCCUGACACUGGAUAACCCCGGGAAACCGGAGCUAAUACCGGAUACUCUCGGCCGAUCACAUGGCUGGCCGAGGAAAGGUCCGCUGGUCAGGGAUGGGCCCGCGGCCUAUCAGCUUGUUGGUGAGGUAACGGCCCACCAAGGCGACGACGGGUAGCUGGUCUAAGAGGACGACCAGCCACACUGGAACUGAGAUACGGUCCAGACUCCUACGGGAGGCAGCAGUGGGGAAUAUUGCACAAUGGGCGAAAGCCUGAUGCAGCGACGCCGCGUGAGGGAUGAAGGCCUUCGGGUCGUAAACCUCUUUCGGCAGGGACGAAGCGAUCAGUGACGGUACCUGCAGAAGAAGCCCCGGCUAACUACGUGCCAGCAGCCGCGGUAAGACGUAGGGGGCGAGCGUUGUCCGGAUUCAUUGGGCGUAAAGCGCGCGUAGGCGGCUGCGCAAGUCGGUUGUGAAACCCCGGGGCUCAACCCCGGAACUGCAUCCGAUACUGCGUGGCUAGAGGUAGGUAGGGGAGAUCGGAAUUCCUGGUGUAGCGGUGAAAUGCGCAGAUAUCAGGAGGAACACCGGUGGCGAAGGCGGAUCUCUGGGCCUUACCU
rnacentral:rRNA from 1 species